CACAAGCACUAGCAUUGCUCUAGCCUGCUGAAAGAAUGAGGUGUGUUGCACUCUUUUUCAUUGUGUCUCUGGUCAUCCUUAUGGCUGAACCUGGGGAGUGUGGCUUCAAGUCAUUUUUUAGAGGGAUAAAACAUGCUGUCGGAGGUGCCAGAGAUAGCUGGAAAGCGUACCAAGAGAAGCGAAAUAUGGAAAAACAGGCAAGACUGGAGCAGGCUCAAGGACCACCAAACCUAAAUUAGGGCUAAUAUGGACCACUGGAAUUCAUUCUAAGCCUUAGGAUAAAACUUUUACUUCUAUCGCUAGGAGAAUCGGUGUUACUGUUUAUUUGAUCUCUAAGCUGACAACAGCCCUUGAAUUUGCAUGACUGUAGGAAUCUUUCCACCAAAUCCAACUUGUCUUAUGAGAUCUUGUUAACUUUCUUUGAAUAAACUUGCAAUUAAAAAAAAUUUAACCCUGAUCUGUGAGUCUGUUUAAACGUGUUAGCUGCAACAGUGAUGAUACAUUUGUUUGCUUUAAACAUUUAACAUUACCCCCUUUCAGCAAUAUCAUGGAUAAAUUACGACAGAUUCAACGGAGGCAUUAAAAGAGAAAUGUAAAAUCAUUUUAUAUUUACUUUACAGCAAAUCAAAGUUUCAUACUCCAAUUUCAUUUAACUU